UACGUAGGGUGCGAGCGUUGUCCGGAAUUAUUGGGCGUAAAGGGCUCGUAGGCGGUUUGUCGCGUCGGGAGUGAAAACCAGGUGCUUAACACCUGGCUUGCUUUCGAUACGGGCAGACUAGAGGUAUUCAGGGGAGAACGGAAUUCCUGGUGUAGCGGUGAAAUGACGCAGAUAUCAGGAGGAACACCGGUGGCGAAGGCGGCUCUCUGGAACGCAACUGACGCUGAGACGCGAAAGCGUGGGGAGCAAACAGG
rnacentral:rRNA from 1 species